rnacentral:rRNA from 1 species
UAGCGAUAGCUAAUUGCAAAUAUCGACUAAGUCGAAUAAAAUUCUAGGUAAAUAUUUGAUAAUGACAAGAUCUGCCUAUUAGUCUUGACCAAAUUACGUGCCAGCAGUCGCGGUAACACGUAAAAGACAAGUGUUAUUCAUCUUUAAUAGGUUUAAAGGGUACCUAGACAGUAAAUCAAGCACUAAUUUACUAGAGUUACUUGCAAGGGGGCACUAAAGUACUAAUGGUGUAGAGAUGAAAUUUUACAAUACCUCUUUUCGAUGGCACAGGUAUAGGCGAAAGCAUCCUCUUAUGUGAUAACUGACGUUGAAGGACGAAGG